AGAGGAAAAGGUGAGGUUACUGCUAAUAAUUUUGUGUCAAUUAGAUUUGACUUUCUCUU
rnacentral:tRNA from 1 species